rnacentral:rRNA from 1 species
GCAGCGCUUACUGCGCGGCGACACCUUACACACAGUGUCUUUUUGAUACAGAACUCUUGCUUUGGUUUGGCCUAGAGAUAGGUUGGGCCAGAGGUUUAACAAAACACAAUUUAAUUAUUUUUACAGUUAGUCAACUUUUGAAUUAAUCUUCAAAACUUUCAACAACGGAUCUCUUGGUUCUCGCAUCGAUGAAGAACGCAGCGAAAUGCGAUAAGUAAUAUGAAUUGCAGAUUUUCGUGAAUCAUCGAAUCUUUGAACGCACAUUGCGCCCUCUGGUAUUCCAGAGGGCAUGCCUGUUUGAGCGUCAUUUCUCUCUCAAACCCCCGGGUUUGGUAUUGAGUGAUACUCUUAGUCGGACUAGGCGUUUGCUUGAAAAGUAUUGGCAUGGGUAGUACUGGAUAGUGCUGUCGACCUCUCAAUGUAUUAGGUUUAUCCAACUCGUUGAAUGGUGUGGCGGGAUAUUUCUGGUAUUGUUGGCCCGGCCUUACAACAACCAAACAAGUUUGACCUCAAAUCAGGUAGGAAUACCCGCUGAACUUAAGCAUAUCAAUAAGCGGAGGAAAAGAAACCAACAGGGAUUGCCUUAGUAGCGGCGAGUGAAGCGGCAAAAGCUCAAAUUUGAAAUCUGGCGCCUUCGGUGUCCGAGUUGUAAUUUGAAGAUUGUAACCUUGGGGGUUGGCUCUUGUCUAUGUUUCUUGAAACAGGACGUCA